AUUUAUUGCCCCCAUGUGACUGAGAGGAUUAAGCGCCAAGAAGUUAGUAUAGAACUGGCGACACAUGUAAAGCAGAACAACCAGAGCUUCACUUCUCUCAAAGGUGGUCUAAAGCCGUGUGAAGAGCCAUGGGAGAUUGCAUCUGCCAUUGACCUAUUGUGAUGAUGGACAAAUUGCAGUGGGUCCAGGUCCUUGCUGAGGCAGGAGUUCAAUCUAGUCAUAACCAACCUCUCAAAGCAUUUCAUCAGUGUCGAUCCCAUGCUUGACUGCUGAGUAAAAGAACGAACUGCUGGAGGAACUCACGGGGUCAGGAAGCAUUUGGGGAGAUGGAACAAACUGGCUAAGGAGGACAAGAUUACAUUGUCAAUGUACAUGCCUCAUGAUCAUUUUACCCAGCCGCUGCAGAUCUUUGCUAUGCCUUCGGAUCCAUUGCUCACUGCCAAAUUUAGACGUUGAGGCAGAUGCCAUACUAUCUGCAAGGAAAAAAUUUCAUCUAUUUUACAGUUCUUUACCUCAAUGGACAAGGCUUUAAGUUCCACAAUGUCUAGCUCAGUAUGGAACAAGAGAAAAUUGUCUAAUAUUAAUGUAUGUUUGUUGCCUGCAUUAUUCGGUGGGGUGCUCUGCAGUACGUGCUAGAAAGACACGGAAAUUUCGUAUCUCAUGCUGCACAAUCUAAACAUUGAAGAUAGUAGGUAAUGUCCGAGGAAAGGCAACAAGGAUAUCUGAAGCUUAACACCAUGAGGCAGAAUUUGAGGACUAGCAGAAGGUGGCCACUGGGACGUGCCCUUACUCGGCAUCAGCAGCCUCACCUUCCAGUUGACCCGUGGUGGCAAACCUUGACAACACAAGCCAAGCUCCAAGGAAACCCCCAGUAAGAGACACUUUGCCUAAGGAGCCUAGUCCCAGUCACAAGUGACUCCAUAAUUUUACAUGUUGCCACUAAUCAGGUAGGAAAGCAUAGGAGCUGCAUAAAACUUGCUCAUAUGUUGUUUUGUAGGUGCACCUCAAUGAUUAUAACACAUGAAUUAACACAUCAUUUCUCCAAUUACUUAAACAAUUGGUAUAGCACUUCUGUGUCUCCUGAUACUUGGUAUCCUGGUUAAAGAAUUCAGAUCCAUGGAUUCAACACAUUUUACUAUCCAUUAAACACUCCUGUGCAGAUUACACACUUUGCCGGCACAGCAAACUUCUUUAUGCGUCGUGCCAUUAUAUGGGUAUUUUCACUCCUGCAGACAAAGCUGUGAAAUAGGUAAAGUUGUUGCCUCGCUGUCCCAGUGAUCCAGGUUCGGUAAUGACCUCAAAGACAAGUUCUCCCUGUGAGAAUGUGGCUUUCCCUCAGCUCCUCCAGUUUCGUCCCUCAUCACAAAUGAAAUGCUGUUUAAAAGAUAAUUGCUGACUACAAAUUGUCCCUCGUGCAGGUAGGUGGUAUGAAAAUUAAGGACAGCACAUAGGUCUGUGAAAGCUCAAAGGAAGUAAAUAAAGAAUAAUGCAAUUGCUUGAAAAACUGGCAUAGAUUUGAUGGACUGAAUUGCUUAUUUCUAUGAUAUAUGGGAAAAAAACAGAAGGAACUACCAAAGCAUGUCCCGGCUGAUCACCUAGUAUCCAUCACAUAGACUUACUAUUUGGCACAUUUCUCAUUUAAUCGGACUUGCAUGUUGUUUUGAGUGAAUAUGGAGGCUUCCCUUGCAGCCUCUGUCAGCUCUAUGGCAGCCAUAUUGGGUAUUCCUGUAGCUUGCCUGCUGUACAGAGUGCAC